GAGAUGAGCCCUGGAUGAUAAGAAAGCUAGAUUCAGAGACUUGGAGAAGAUGUGGGGAUAGAAGGUUCCAAAUAAGGGAAGCAGCAAGUGCAAAGGCCCUGGGGUUGGAUCUUGCAGAGUAGAGUUGGAUCACACAGCUGAAGCAGAGUGAGGGAGGGGGCGUGAGACUGAGGGAAGAGGUCACUGAGAGCCUUGUGGGUCCUCAUAAAUGAGGACUUGGGAUUUUUCUCUGGGAGAGAUGGGGGCCUAGAAGAGUUCUGAGCAGAGGAGGGACAGGAUCUUGGGGGCAAAAGCAAAAACAGGGCAA
rnacentral:lncRNA from 1 species